GAAAUGCGAUAAGUAAUGUGAAUUGCAGAAUUCAGUGAAUCAUCGAAUCUUUGAACGCACAUUGCGCCCGCCAGAAUUCUGGCGGGCAUGCCUGUUCGAGCGUCAUUUCAACCCUCGAGCUCCCCUUGGGGAGCCCGGCGUUGGGGACCGGCAGUAACACCGCCGGCCCCGAAAUGGAGUGGCGGCCCCGUCCGCGGCGACCUCUGCGUAGUAAAUCCACUCGCACCGGGACCCGGGCGCGACCACGCCGUAAAACACCCAACUUCCGAAUGUUGACCUCGAAUCAGGUAGGAAUACCCGCUGAACUUAA
rnacentral:misc_RNA from 1 species